UGGCCAGUGAUGAAAAACCUAUUAAUCAUACCAUCUUUUGGGACUGAUCGGUUGCUAUGUGUCCAUGCUGUCUUUCUGCAAUUCUGAAGCCA
rfam:Triticum aestivum genome assembly, contig: Triticum_aestivum_CS42_TGACv1_scaffold_062737_1DL